rnacentral:rRNA from 1 species
UACGUAGGGGGCUAGCGUUGUCCGGAAUCAUUGGGCGUAAAGAGCGUGUAGGCGGUCCGGUAAGUCCGCUGUGAAAGUCGGGGGCUCAACCCUCGAAUGCCGGUGGAUACUGUCGGGCUAGAGUGCGGAAGAGGCGAGUGGAAUUCCUGGUGUAGCGGUGAAAUGCGCAGAUAUCAGGAGGAACACCUAUGGCGAAGGCAGGUCUCUGGGCAUUAACUGACGCUGAGGAGCGAAAGCAUGGGGAGCGAACAGG